CAGUAGCCGCGGUAAGACAGAGGGUGCAAGCGUUAAUCGGAAUUACUGGGCGUAAAGCGCGCGUAGGUGGUUUGUUAAGUUGGAUGUGAAAUCCCCGGGCUCAACCUGGGAACUGCAUCCAAAACUGGCAGGCUAGAGUAGGGCAGAGGGUGGUGGAAUUUCCUGUGUAGCGGUGAAAUGCGUAGAUAUAGGAAGGAACACCAGUGGCGAAGGCGACCACCUGGGCUCAUACUGACACUGAGGUGCGAAAGCGUGGGGAGCAAACAGGAUUAGAUACCCCCGUAGUCCCUGUCUCUUAUAC
rnacentral:rRNA from 1 species